rnacentral:rRNA from 1 species
UCAGUAACACGUAGUCAACAUGCCCAGGGGACGUGGAUAACCUCGGGAAACUGAGGAUAAACCGCGAUAGGUCACUACUUCUGGAAUGGGUAAUGACCCAAACCUAUAUGGCCCCUGGAUUGGACUGCGGCCGAUCAGGCUGUUGGUGAGGUAAUGGCCCACCAAACCUGUAACCGGUACGGGCUCUGAGAGGAGGAGCCCGGAGAUGGGCACUGAGACAAGGGCCCAGGCCCUAUGGGGCGCAGCAGGCGCGAAACCUCUGCAAUAGGCGAAAGCUUGACAGGGUUACUCUGAGUGAUUUCCGUUAAGGAGAUCUUUUGGCACCUCUAAAAAUGGUGCAGAAUAAGGGGUGGCAAGUCUG